UAUAGAAUUGAUACCAAAAACAUGGCAGCAAUAUAUUGUCUACAUAAUUGAUACUAAAAACAUGGCAGCAAUAUGUAGUUAACAUUUAUAUGUUAAAAUAAUUACAAUAUAACAAGAAAAAAAUAUAUUAGCCUAAGUAUUGAUACUUAAAAACAUGGCAGCAAUAUAUAGUUAGCAUUUAUAUGCUAAAACAAUUACAAUCUAACAAAGAAAUGUGACAAUAUGUCGGCAUUUAUUACAUGAGAACGAAGAAACAACAAACCUUGAGCAGCUAAGCUAGACAGUAAGCGAUACAGCAAAUUACGAGAGAAAGCGAGACUGAAAGGAUGAGAGUGAGGUAAGAACUAAUAUACAUUACUAAACAUAUUCGAUCAAAACAUUUUAUAAAGAUAAAGUCAUACCUGGUAGUGAGAGUGAGGUAGUGAGAGUGAGGUACAUGAAAAUGGAAGUCUGCAAAAAUUAAAAACGAUAUAUCAAUCGUCGUUGUACAACAAUGUAAUUUGAAAAAACAACAUUCAAAAAAUAAAUAUAAUAGUGUCAAGAAAAUAGAACCAACCUGACACAAACGAAACUCGUCUGCAAAAUAAAAACAAGUAUCAACAAGCCAUUACAGUAAUGGAAUCCAAAGUAAUGUACUCAAGAAAUUAUUAAAAAUAGUACAUAUAAACAAUUCAAACAUUACCAAUAACAUAUUUUAAAACAGAUCAGCAAAAAAGUUGCAAUUCCAUGCACCAUUUACACUCGUCGGACAUUCACACUAGCCGGACUGUUACAGACUUACGACAGUGCAUCUUGAACAGCCACCUUUGGCCGGGAAGAAUUAUACAGUAUUUCGUAGCAUUAUAUACUGCUUCGCUAUGAACCAUUACCAUGCAUUAACUACCGUCACCAUCACUCACAACAAUGGAGCUAGGUCGGUCACUUUCUUUCAAUCUCAUGAAGGUGGCAAGUUACACCCAAACAACCAAAACUACGGUCGAUCACUAAAUUAAUUAACAAAUGCAAGCUAAGGAAACCACGCCAUGAUAAUGACAUGACUAAAAAAGAUGGCACAACAACUAACUAACUAACACAUCAGAAUCUGAUCAGUAUGGAUACUCAAAUGAAUAGUACAAAGACCAUGCAGCAUCUCUUUUGAGAUCAGAGAAGAGGACCUUUACAUGCUGCACAUUUUUGUAAGCACUAUUUGAUAAUUGCAUUAUGCUUUUGAGUUUGGCAGUACUCAUGAAAUUAAUCAAUUAUCUACCCUCAAGAUCAACACUCACUGUCAUUAAU
rnacentral:lncRNA from 1 species